CUUGAGCUAAUACCGGAUACGUCCGCGAGGAGAAAGAUUCAUCGCCGGAGGAUUGGCCCGCGUCUGAUUAGCUUGUUGGUGAGGUAAUGGCUCACCAAGGCGACGAUCAGUAGCUGGUCUGAGAGGAUGAUCAGCCACACUGGGACUGAGACACGGCCCAGACUCCUACGGGAGGCAGCAGUGGGGAAUAUUGGACAAUGGGCGCAAGCCUGAUCCAGCCAUGCCGCGUGAGUGAUGAAGGCCCUAGGGUUGUAAAGCUCUUUUACCCGGGAAGAUAAUGACUGUACCGGGAGAAUAAGCCCCGGCUAACUUCGUGCCAGCAGCCGCGGUAAUACGAAGGGGGCUAGCGUUGUUCGGAAUCACUGGGCGUAAAGCGCACGUAGGCGGAUUUUUAAGUCAGGGGUGAAAUCCCGAGGCUCAACCUCGGAACUGCCUUUGAUACUGGAG
rnacentral:rRNA from 1 species